UACGUAGGGUGCGAGCGUUAAUCGGAAUUAUUGGGCGUAAAGAGCUCGUAGGCGGUCUGUCGCGUCUGGUGUGAAAAUCCAGGGCUUAACCCUGGACCUGCAUCGGGUACGGGCAGACUAGAGUGCGGUAGGGGAGAUCGGAAUUCCUGGUGUAGCGGUGAAAUGCGCAGAUAUCAGGAGGAACACCAACAGCGAAGGCAGAUCUCUGGGACGUUACUGACGCUGAGACGCGAAAGCGUGGGGAGCAAACAGG
rnacentral:rRNA from 1 species